rnacentral:rRNA from 1 species
UACGUAGGCAGCGAGCGUUGUUCGGAUUUACUGGGCGUAAAGGGUGUGUAGGCGGUUGUUUAAGUUUGGUGUGAAAUCUCCCGGCUCAACUGGGAGGGUGCGCCGAAUACUGAAUGACUAGAGUGCGGGAGAGGUGAGUGGAAUUCCUGGUGUAGCGGUGAAAUGCGUAGAUAUCGGGAGGAACACCUGAGGCGAAGGCGGGCUACUGGGCCGAUACUGACGCUGAUGCGCGAAAGCCAGGGGAGCAAACGGG